rnacentral:rRNA from 1 species
UGGGGAAUUUUCCGCAAUGGGCGAAAGCCUGACGGAGCAAUGCCGCGUGAAGGAUGAAGGCCUAUGGGUUGUAAACUUCUUUUCUCAGAGAAGAAAUUUUGACGGUAUCUGAGGAAUAAGCAUCGGCUAACUCUGUGCCAGCAGCCGCGGUAAGACAGAGGAUGCAAGCGUUAUCCGGAAUGAUUGGGCGUAAAGCGUCUGUAGGUGGCUUAAAAAGUCUCCUGUCAAAGAUCAGGGCUUAACCCUGGGCCGGCAGGAGAAACUCUUAGGCUAGAGUUGGUAGGGGCAGAGGGAAUUCCCGGUGGAGCGGUGAAAUGCGUAGAGAUCGGGAGGAACACCAAAGGCGAAAGCACUCUGCUGGGCCAUUACUGACACUGAGAGACGAAAGCGAGGGGAGCAAAAGGGAUUAGAUACCCCUGUAGUC